rnacentral:rRNA from 1 species
CAAUAGCGUAUAUUAAAGUUGUUGCAGUUAAAAAGCUCGUAGUUGGAUUUCUGGUGGGAGCGAUCGGUCUGGCGCUUAGCGCGAGUACUUGCAUCAUCUCCGGCCAUCCUUGGGGAGAGUCUGUCUGGCAUUAGGUUGUCGGGCAGAGGAUCCUCAUCGUUUACUGUGAAAAAAUUAGAGUGUUCAAAGCAGGCUUAUGCCGUUGAAUAUAUUAGCAUGGAAUAAUAAGAUAGGACUUUGGUACUAUUUUGUUGGUUUGCGCACCAAAGUAAUGAUUAAUAGGGACAGUUGGGGGUAUUCGUAUUCCGUUGUCAGAGGUGAAAUUCUUGGAUUUACGGAAGACGAACUACUGCGAAAGCAUUUACCAAGGAUGUUUUCAUUAA